UAUAUAUAUAUAUAUAUAUAUAUAUUUCAUUAGAAAAAGUGCAGUACAUUUUCAUGGUACGGUCAGUACUGUUUAUUUUUGUAAUAAAGUGAACUUAAUUUUUCCACUGAGUGUUAUAUUUUCAUUCAGUAGUAAUCGGUUAUUAGUAGGUGCUACCCGACUUAUCGGUUAUCGGCAUCUGUAAGAUCCACUGUCGAUCAGCCUUUAAAAUAGAUUAAUGUGUAUGACAUGAUCUUCUUUAAUUAAUAAAGAAAUGCGCUUGUUGACAACUUGCUGUGGUAUAAGGGGAAUAAAACACUUCAGAAUGUGCAGUUCUACAUUAGGGUGAUAACGGUCACUCCACUUCAUUGGAUUGUUGACUGUUUUCCUAUAACCGUAUGUUUAUUCCUUACAUAAAUUAAACACAAAGCAUGUAGGGGUUCUACAUGCAUGUAGUAUUUGUACAAUCAAUAACCUAUUAGAGUAAUACAUUGUGGUAUAUAAACUGAACUUUGUGUUUGAUGUGUCUGCAGUGCCCAAAGCCCGUGGUGGUGGCAGUGCAUGGCGGUUGUGUAUAAGCAGGUCUGUUGGGACUGUUAAGUACCAUCAUCUCAUACACUCACCACAACUCUGGGAAGUUCCAUCCAUAUUGUUUGCUGUCACUUUUCCUGCAAAGCUUUAACCAUCAGAGAGUUAUCUUUUACUGGGGCUUUUAGCUGCAGGAGACUGAAUUACUAAGUUUUUUUUUUUGUGGAUCUGAUUUCUUCUUUUCAGGAGUGGAUCUAAUCACAGCCUGUGAUAUUCGUCUGUGCACACAGGAUGCCUGGUUUCAGGUGAAGGUAUGAGGAACAUUAACUUGCCAUACAUUGCUUGCUUACAUGUUUACACCAAGAUCUGUAAACAAGCUAUUUUUGUCCAUAUGAUCAUAUAUAGAGAUAGUAAGUGAUGAGAAGAUAAGAAUGGGCUGAUUGUUCUGACUCAUACAAGCCCCUAUGAAAGAGUUGACCACAAGGGGGCACACUCUGAACAAUUAUUUACAUUUGCAGUUUGUUGAAGAUUAAAUAAACCACAGUGAGCAUCAGAUGUCUGGUUUUAAUACAAAGUUUUAUGAUGAACUAUUUUAUGAUAUUACCAUCUUGUCAUUUAUCAAAGAAGAGCUACAAAACCUGAAAUUUGUUCAUUUUUAGACAGAAAAAUUCUGCAGUGUAGCUCUUCUAGUGGGCUUUCCCACUGGAUGUUUAGUCCAACACAGAGCAGUUUGCAUGAAAAGUUGGUAAUGUGACCGUCGUAAUGUGGACUGGGAAGUGCACUGCGGUACCGAACCCGAGACUACCUGUAGAAGGUGGUCCGAGUUCAGUUACAAUGGAACUGUGAAUGUGAAUUGUCCCAUGAAUGUGAACAUAACUUGUAUCCGGGUCUGCACUUUUUCAGGAAGUAGAGUAACCUGUGCUGAAGGCCUGUUGUGGUGAUGACGUGUCAUGACAUGUUUUGGCCCAAAUCUGCAGUGACUUUGAAAAAGUGGAAGCUCCUCUGAAUAUUGUGGAGUUUCUUGAUUUUGCGUUAAUUUCUGUGAUCACAAAAAGAUGAAAUUCUGGACUGACACAUGGAAGAUAUGGAAUGAUAACAGAAGAAUGUGACUUUGGGUUGUACCGUGUAUUUUUUUCAUGUAGCUUUAUUAUUUAGUAUAAAUGAAGGCAAGUGUGUGUUCUGUUCUUCAUCUCUGCAGUCGUGUGUUCCCUGAUAGUCAAUGAUUGCUGGAGCUCUGGAAAUAGCAGGUGAGAUUGCAGGCCGGAGUCGCGUCGCUGUCCAAGGAACCAAAAUCAACCUCCUCUACUCCUGAGACCACAGUGUGACUGAGAGCCUAGACUACAUGGCUACUUGGAACAUGAACAUGCUGCAGACACAGGAUCUUAUGAAGUCAGCGCAGGCAGCCCUGGAAAAGAAGAGUCCGAAAGACAUGCCCUUCUCCAAGCUUUAAAGGAGAAGAUCCAGGGCUGUUGAAGCUGCGGUGGAACUGAGACAUCAUCAUCCACAUAUCUUCAGUUCUUCUUGCUAAGAGAACGAGAAACUCGGACACAACAGUACAUCCUGACCAUUGGUACUGUGUACACAUCAACAUACACACACGUCUCCAUGCUGGACAUCUCAGGAGCUUUCACACAGUGCUAGGAAUAUCCCGGGACAGAGAAACGCACCUUCUAAGUGAGCGAGUUUAGCGUCAACCGGUGAAAUUUGCUGUAGCGUGAACACUUUGCCUCUGUGAGCUUCACUCUCCGUAGGGUUCACUGUAAUUAGACAUAAAAUGUACAUAGUUUAUUUUUCAUGCAUUUAGGAUUUCAUGUUUUUUUUGUUUUUUUUUUACUCUUCGAGGAAAAGAAAUGAUCUUUCGAGGCAGCUUCUUCAUCACUACCUGCUCCGUUUGACUCAAAAAUGUAACGACCGGUUUCAAAAAGUCACGAUGUCUUCAGUUCAUGAGAUUUUACUGUUGAAUUUAAACAGGAAAUGUGAAAUAUUUUUUUCCCUUUGUUUCCUCUACUGUCUUUUUGCUGUGAUCUUGAACACAGUUGUAAUUUUUUAAAAAAUAAAAAUAAAAAAAUGAUAAUUCUAGUUCUCUCACUUUCCUUGUCCUAAUUGUCCUGUAUCUGUUAAAUCCGUUUCAUCUCUGUUCUUUCUGUCUGUAUGAACACUUGUAGAAAUGACUUGUAGUCCAUAUUUUUAAAUGAUUCGUGAUUUUGAAUUUAAAUAAAGAUAUUCUUUAAUUCUG